UAUUGUUGUGAUGCUGCUCAUAAAAGCCCAUAAAUUUCAAGAUUAGCACUUAAGUUGCCACUUCUUUGCGGCAUGCAUGUUGACAUCUCUACAUGUUCAGGACUACCUCCUACGUCAACAACAACAGAAGUUUCCUUUGGAAUAAAAAAGAAUUCAAUUAUUGCUGGUAUGAAG